UUUUCGUAGGUGAACCUGCGGAAGGAUCAUUAAUGAAUUGAAGAGCGCGCCUAGCACCGUGCAAACGGAUGGCCGCUUCAUCAUCUCAUUUUCACACACUGUGCUCAUAGAGGAUUUAAAGACAUCUUAAUACCAUGUUUUUAAAACACUUUAUACACUUGAACGUUGAACAGUCUCGUGAUGUUGUAAUAACAUUUAAUUGUAAAUGAAAGAAAAACUUUCAGCAACGGAUCUCUUGGCUCUCGCAUCGAUGAAGAACGCAGC
rnacentral:misc_RNA from 1 species